GAGCCGGUAACUCAGUUGGUUAGAGUAUACGCCUGAUAAGCGUAAAGUCGGCUGUUCAAGUCCCUCGGCUCA
rnacentral:tRNA from 1 species